rnacentral:pre_miRNA from 1 species
GAGAGUGACCAGCUAUCCCAGUUUGCCUAAGAUGGAGAGUUCUCCUGGGACAUGGGACUUUGGGUGCUAAAACCAGGAAAGUCCUGGGCAAGCUGGGAUGGCUGGUCACUCUCACCGCAG